GAUCCUGGCUCAGGAUGAACGCUAGCUACAGGCUUAACACAUGCAAGUCGAGGGGCAGCAUGAACUUAGCUUGCUAAGUUGAUGGCGACCGGCGCACGGGUGAGUAACACGUAUCCAACCUGCCGAUGACUCGGGGGAUAGCCUUUCGAAAGAAAGAUUAAUACCCGAUGGCAUAGUUCUUCCGCAUGGUAGAACUAUUAAAGGAUUUCGGUCAUCGAUGGGUAUGCUUUCCAUUAGG
rnacentral:rRNA from 1 species